GUGCCAGCAGCUGCGGUAAUACAUAGGUCGCGAGCGUUAUUCGGAUUUAUUGGGCGUAAAGCAAGCGCAGGCGGAUUGAUAAGUUCUGUGUUAAAAGCAGCUGCUCAACAGUUGUUUGCACCGAAUACUGUCAGUCUAGAAUGUGGUAGGGAGUUUCGGAAUUAAAUAUGGAGCGGUGGAAUGUGUAGAUAUAUUUAAGAACACCAGAAGCGAAGGCGGAAACUCAGGCCAUUAUUGACGCUUAGGCUUGAAAGUGUGGGGAGCAAAUGGGAUUAGAUACCCCAGUAGUCCACACCGUAAACGAUGGGUAUUAGAUGUCGGGAUUUAAGUUUCGGCGUUGUAGCUUACGUGUUAAAUACCCCGCCUGGGUAGUACAUAUGCAAAUAUGAAACUCAAAGGAAUUGACGGGGACCUGAACAAGUGGUGGAACAUGUUGCUUAAUUCGAUAAUACACGAAAAACCUUACCAAGGUUUGACAUCCCCCGCAAAACCAUGGAAACAUGGYGGAGGUUAUCGGGGUGACAGGUGGUGCAUGGUUGUCGUCAGCUCGUGUCAUGAGAUGUUUGGUUAAGUCCCGCAACGAGCGCAACCCUACUCCUUAGUUACCUUUUCUAAGGAGACUGAACAGUAAUGUAUAGGAAGGUUGGGAUCACGUCAAAUCAUCAUGCCCCUUAUGCCUUGGGCUGCAAACGUGUUACAAUGGCGAGUACAAUGUGUCGCAAGCUAGCGAUAGCAAGCCAAUCACCUAAAACUCGUCUCAGUUCGGAUAGGAGGCUGCAAUUCGCCUCCUUGAAGUUGGAAUCACUAGUAAUCCCGUGUCAGCUAUAUCGGGGUGAAUACGUUCCCAGGUC
rnacentral:rRNA from 1 species